CCUACGGAGGGCAGCAGUGGGGAAUAUUGGACAAUGGGGGGAACCCUGAUCCAGCCAUGCCGCGUGUGUGAAGAAGGCCCUCGGGUUGUAAAGCACUUUCAGUGAGGAAGAACGCCUGGUGGUUAAUACCCAUCAGGAAAGACAUCACUCACAGAAGAAGCACCGGCUAACUCCGUGCCAGCAGCCGCGGUAAUACGGAGGGUGCGAGCGUUAAUCGGAAUUACUGGGCGUAAAGCGCGCGUAGGUGGCUUGAUAAGCCGGAUGUGAAAGCCCCGGGCUCAACCUGGGAACGGCAUCCGGAACUGUCAAGCUAGAGUGCAGGAGAGGAAGGUAGAAUUCCCGGUGUAGCGGUGAAAUGCGUAGAGAUCGGGAGGAAUACCAGUGGCGAAGGCGGCCUUCUGGACUGACACUGACACUGAGGUGCGAAAGCGUGGGUAGCAAACAGGAUUAGAUACCCCAGUAGUC
rnacentral:rRNA from 1 species